rnacentral:rRNA from 1 species
CCUACGGGCGGCAGCAGUGAGGAAUAUUGGUCAAUGGGCGCGAGCCUGAACCAGCCAAGUCGCGUGAAGGAAGACGGUCCUAUGGAUUGUAAACCUCUUUUGUCAGGGAGCAAAGUGCGCCACGCGUGGCGUUCCGAGUGUACCCUAUGAAAAAGCAUCGGCUAACUCCGUGCCAGCAGCCGCGGUAAUACGGAGGAUGCGAGCGUUAUCCGGAUUUAUUGGGUUUAAAGGGUGCGCAGACGGAAGAUCAAGUCAGUGGUAAAAUUGAGAGGCUCAACCUCUUCGAGCCGUUGAAACUGGUUUCCUUGAGUGAGCGAGAAGUAGGCGGAAUGCGUGGUGUAGCGGUGAAAUGCAUAGAUAUCACGAAGAACUCCGAUUGCGAAGGCAGCAUACCGGCGCUCAACUGACGCUCAUGCACGAAAGUGUGGGUAUCGAACAGGAUUAGAUACCCGAGUAGUC